UUGCAUAUGCAGUGGGGAGGAAGGAGAGGAGUUCUAUUUCCUAUGCCAUAGAUGUGUAAAUGCAAUGGAUGUGGGAACACGGAUUAUUAUAAUGACUGAUUACAGUGCAUUAAUAUGCAACGGGAGGGUGAUCUUUACAAGGACAUAGGACUAGCCUAUAUACUGAAUACCACAAAAGGUGAAUGAACACGAAUUUAGUUAUUUCGGUGCAUGUUUGUGUGCACAGCCCAUAGUUUCAAAUGCAAUGCAGUUGAUAGAUAUUUCUCUCCAGGAUUAAUGUAAAACCUAUUGUUUACAUUUGAACAGGAUGGGGAAAUUGGAAUAGGAUAUUAGGCAGCUGCAAGAGGCGAGCCACCUACCCUUGGAAAUUCACCGUGGUUACUCAUUGCCCUCUCUAACAGACCUCGUUCAAGAGAAACUUCUUAUGCUAAACAGAGCUGUAUCCAAUAUAUUUUUCUUCCAACAAAACAAUAAGAAGCUGGCUGGCGUGUUGUAUGUUGCCAUACCCCUAUACUGAAUAGAGUCAGGACUGCUCGAUGGAGUCAUAGGCCGUAUACAAACUGUUAAAUGUUGAUUCCCCUUAGUCCAGCAGGAUCUGAAAUCUACCACUGCCGUCACUGUGAAACCCUGCAUGCCAUUCUAUGCAGCGCAGCAAUGCCCAGGCACUGCCCAUGGUCAUGAAUUUAUUAGAGUCACAGCACUCUUAUUGUGACUUUCGUCCGGGGCUCUCACCACAUUUUGUGGGCAAUUACGCAGGCAACUGCUGCUGAUUACGAUAGUCAUAACCGUCUCACUUUGCCCUGUGCUUCCUCAAUCUCUUUUAUUGUUCUGUAGGGCAAAGACUAUCUUUCUGUGACCUGCCUAGCACAAUGGGACCCUGAUCCAGAGCCUCUAGGCACCCCCACAAUACAAGUCAUUAGUGAAUCCUCACAACUCCUCACAUGAGGCAGGCCAACAGAACUUAAUAGGGACACGUAAAGAGAAACUGUUACCCAUGGACCUCUCCAGGCCAACUGGCAAGGGGGAUACAAGAAUACCCUGAUUCAGGUCAUAUUUUCUAGACCUUCGAUCAUUUUUGUUGCUCUCCUCUGAACCUUCUCCAAUUUCUCCAUGUCUUUCCUGAAGUAUGCUGCCCAGAACUGACCACAAUACUCCAGUUGAGGCCUUGUUAGUGUUGAGCAGAGUGGAAGAAUUAUUUCUUGUGUCUUACUUACAACACUCUAAUAUAUCCCAGAAUGAUGUUUGGCUUUUUUGGAACGCUAUUGCAGUGUUGAUGUAUUUAGUUUGUGAUCCACUAUAAUCCCUAGAUCCUUUUCUGCAGCACUCCUUUCUAGGCAGUAAUUUCAUUUCUCAUUUUGUAUUUGUGCAAUUCAUUAUUCCUUCCUA